GACGGGGGGGGCAAGUGUUCUUCGGAAUGACUGGGCGUAAAGGGCGCGUAGGCGGCCUCUUAAGUCGAACGUGAAAUCCCCGGGCUCAACCCGGGAACUGCGUCCGAUACUGGGAGGCUUGAAUCCGGGAGAGGGAUGUGGAAUUCCAGGUGUAGCGGUGAAAUGCGUAGAUAUCUGGAGGAACACCGGUGGCGAAGGCGGCAUCCUGGACCGGUAUUGACGCUGAGGCGCGAAAGCCAGGGGAGCAAACGGG
rnacentral:rRNA from 1 species